rnacentral:lncRNA from 1 species
UGUGUGGUCUCUUCAGCAUAGCAACAGCAGCGUAGCUGAACAUCUUACGGAUGGCCCAGGGCUCCAAAGGCUCGUUUCCUAAGUGAGAGAGAGCCUGGCUGAAGCUGUAUUACCAUUCAUUCUCCAGCCUCCGAAGUCUCAAAGCAUCACUUCCACCAUACUCUAACUGUCAAGACAAACACAAAGGCCCAGAAACUGCCAGACUGUCUUCUGAAGUGGCUAUAAUAUUUACACUCCCAUCAGCAGUGUAGAAGGGGUCUCACUAUGUUGUCUGGAGUGCUGUGGUGGAGUGGAGUGGCUAUUCACAGCUGAGUUUGCAGAGUAAACCACUACCCUGAAAUCUGGAAAGGCAGGUGCACCCACAGAUCCUCAGCUGAGAUCCAAUUACCUGAAAUAGAAGCUGCCAUUAGGAACACUUAAAAGAGCCUGUUCUGCUGGGACACAGAAUCACUUGCUCCAUCUCAUACAUUGAUGAUGAUUAAUUUGUAUGUGUACCUUCCAAAAAAGAUGGUUGUGUUUGAAUGGAGGCCUUCUGGACAGGAAAAUAUGGAGAGUGCGUGCUUUGGAUUCAAGACUGGGAAUGAGGGGACCAGAAACCUAUUCUGUGGCUGU